AGAGUUCCUUGGCAUUCUGUCCACCUCCCCUUUUCUUUUUUAUCAAAACCCACAACUGUAGUAGGAAAAAGGUGAGAGGGAAGAGUUUUUCUGUGGGUGUAAUUAGGGCGUGGAUGUAGUUUGGAGUAGAAAAGAAAAAUAAGAUAGAGAAGGUGGUUUUUUUUCUGAAAAUUGAUGUAGGGUGGAGGUGGGCAUACUGCCAGUGGAGCUC
rnacentral:pre_miRNA from 1 species